rnacentral:rRNA from 1 species
GAUCCUGGCUCAGGAUGAACGCUAGCGACAGGCCUAACACAUGCAAGUCGAGGGGCAUCGGGGAGUGGCAACACUCUGCCGACGACCGGCGCACGGGUGAGUAACGCGUAUCCAACCUGGCCCAUACCACGGGAUAGCCCGUCGAAAGGCGGAUCAAUACCGUAUGCUGUCAUUAAGAUGCAUAUAUUGAUGACGAAAGGACUGGCGGUAUGGGAUGGGGAUGCGUCUGAUUAGCUUGUUGGCGGGGUAACGGCCCACCAAGGCGACGAUCGGUAGGGGUUCUGAGAGGAAGGUCCCCCACAUUGGAACUGAGACACGGUCCAAACUCCUACGGGAGGCAGCAGUGAGGAAUAUUGGUCAAUGGACGCAAGUCUGAACCAGCCAAGUAGCGUGCAGGAUGACGGCCCUAUGGGUUGUAAACUGCUUUUAUGCGGGGAUAAAGUGAGGGACGUGUCCCUUUUUGUAGGUACCGCAUGAAUAAGGACCGGCUAAUUCCGUG